UCAGGCCUAACACAUGCAAGUCGAGGGGUAGAAGGAGCUUGCUCCUUUGAGACCGGCGCACGGGUGCGUAACGCGUAUGCAAUCUACCUUUUACAGAGGGAUAGCCCAGAGAAAUUUGGAUUAAUACCUCAUAGUAUAUAACCUUCGCAUGUUGGUUAUAUUAAAGUUCCAACGGUAAAAGAUGAGCAUGCGUCCUAUUAGCUAGUUGGUGUGGUAACGGCACACCAAGGCAACGAUAGGUAGGGGUCCUGAGAGGGAGAUCCCCCACACUGGUACUGAGACACGGACCAGACUCCUACGGGAGGCAGCAGUGAGGAAUAUUGGACAAUGGGCGCAAGCCUGAUCCAGGCAUGCCGCGUGCAGGAAGACGGUCCUAUGGAUUUA
rnacentral:rRNA from 1 species